UUCUAAGUACUAACCACGCUCGACGCUGUUUAACUUCGAUGAUCGGACGAGAAUCGGUUCUUUAAAACGUGACAUGGCCGUUGGCCAAUUGAGCAAAAAAAAAAUGCAAUACAAGAUCAGAUCGCCCAAACUUCAUGAAACAUACUGUGCGACGAGGCGUUGCUACCUUGGUUGUCCAACGGGCAGCUCGUAAAGGGGGUUUCUGGUUGGACAUGCGCGCGCGGCUCAUAGAGGUCCUCAAGAGAUUAUGGACGGACGUGGCGUUGGUCGUCGCCUCUAUCUGGGGGCGGCUGACUGGAAACCCGAGGAAGUCCCGGUCUCCAUGCUCUCUGCUUAUCAGUCCAUGAUUCACUGAUAAGAAGAAUGAGGUUAUGUACACGCCAGCAAGGACGACACUUUCAACAGUUCAAUUAAUGUAAUGUAACCAAUAAUAAAACUAUUAUCUACACAUUUUCAAACUCGA